UUUGUUUCACGAAAGCCAUAAUUUAUACGCAGGUCCCUUCCCUGACAUACGCCUGUUGAGAGAUGUGGAGCAGUGCAUUCACUUCUAUGGCCGUCUGCUGUUGCUAGAGAACUACAAAAUUGACUCAUCAGUUAUGAGGCGUGCUGAUUGCAAAAUUCGCCUCUGGCCUCGGGAGGAGCUUGAUGUACGCAAGUCUUCGGUGCGAGACAAUUGGUGUGUUCCUUUUAACACCGGCCGUAGGGGGCUAUUUGUAAACGCCGCGUCGAGCUGCAAUGAGGUGUGGAAACGGACCGUUUUGCGGUGCGCGCUUUCAGUGGAGCGAGUGUGGUGCAAGUUAGCAGCGUAAGGUA